UCCGUUAUAGUCUAGUUGGUCAGGAUAUUCGGCUCUCACCCAAAGGACGCGCGUUCAAUUCCCGGCAACGGAA
rfam:Lupinus angustifolius cultivar Tanjil contig_13008, whole genome shotgun sequence.